GCUGUGACUGCUUGUGGGAAGAUCAUUGUUGGUAAUGGAGCAUCAGUCCACUUAACGAGUCCCACUGUGUUCUAUCUGGGAGCAGCUUUGGGAAUCUGUGUGAUGGUGAUCUGCAUUCAAGCCAUUCAAAUCUGCAGGGGGAGAGAUCACGAUUCGGUGGUGGAGAACAAAGCCAGUCAGGACUCUGCAGCUGUGGAGCUGAAUUAUGCAGCCAAAAGCCUGAGAAUGAAGAGUGGACGCUCUGGACACAGUGUUUACUCUGAAGUCAGAUACUUCUCAGUUACUGACCCCAACAAUCACUGACUCG